AUGUACAUUUAUUUUUAUCGAGUUUUCCCAUGAAAAUAGAGGAAUAUUACACUGCAUUGUAUUAUAGCGGUCACUGAUAAAAAUCGUUACCAGCUAUCGCGUUCACGGACCGUCGAUACGUUUAUGCGGUGUUUGCGCGAGAAGAAUCGCGUUGGUCGCAAAAGGCCGGCCAAGAUAGUAACGAUUGUCGUUCCAUAAGCUUCGUACGCUUAUUUUAAACAGCUGUCAUAUAGCUCGCGGUCGUAUUCUCAGCGACGUGCUCGCGUAUGAACACAAUGGCACCGUGAAACACACAAGAGCGAGACCGUAGGUGACCCCGA